rnacentral:lncRNA from 1 species
GUUGUGCUGUUUGAUAAGUGACAAGUUUCACAUUGCACAGGUGGCCAAUUUCACCAGUUCCUUGAGCCCUAUCAGUAUCAUUUAUCAGAAACAGCAGAGAAUGCUGCAUGCACUGCGCUAGAGACAUUAAUUCCAGUCGUGUCUACAUUCCUCACUGGCUAAAGGACUUCAAGAUUGGUUUGUACUUUCGGCUUACCAUUGAUAACUUAAGAUAUCAUCCCAUGUGACACAGUCUUACUGCAUCUGUAUCUUAGGUACUUUUCCAAUGUCUUUGCAUUUUACCCAAGCUCUGAGUGAAGCAUGAAUGGCCCUGCCUUCCAUUAUGGGAUUUCCAGGCAUCAGUGUCUUCAGUGGCAAUGAAGAACAGCUGGCCACCGUUCUCUGUGAUAAUAACCUUCGUACAGUCAAAACUGGAGUGGUUUUGGACAUGGUACUUAUAAGAACAUCUCCUUGCAAAUGAUCCACAGUAGCAGCAUGACAGCAUUUUUGUUCCUCUCAAGUCUGGCUAGAAGCUCCAUGUGUGACAAACAACAAUGAGAAAGACCUGCUCCUCAUUCCUUAUGAAUGCAGCAUGUGAAUCUGGAUUCGACUGCACCCUGUAGGAAAUCAUUGCUGUCUGCUUUAUGAAAAGCGAACAUGUAAUUUAAUACAUUUAAGCAAACGAAGAACAAGGGUCUACAGAAUUUGUAACAUGACUCGACUCUAAUCUAGGUGUCUAUCCUACCUCAUAAUCUAUUUCUUUUGAUGUGCAUCAGUAUCUUCAAAAAGAAUUGUUUUAAAAGCUUUAAAUCAUUUUGAUAUAUGUUAGACCGUCAAAGCUAUACAUGUGAUCUGAUGAAUGUCAAAAUGUAUGAUGAGCGACUGCUCACACUCCUCAUUAUACUCAUUCAUUCAGCAAAUACUUUAUUUUUUCCAGCUGUAUUGAGGAAUAAUUAACAAAUAAAAUGCUAUAUGUUUAAAGUGUAUUCA